rnacentral:misc_RNA from 1 species
AACGCACAUUGCGCCCGCUAGUACUCUAGCGGGCAUGCCUGUUCGAGCGUCAUUUCAACCCUCAAGCCCUGCUUGGUGUUGGGGCCCUACGGCUGCCGUAGGCCCUGAAAGACAGUGGCGGGCUCGCUAUAACUCCGAGCGUAGUAACACAUCUCGCUCAGGGCGUUUUAGUGGGGUCCGGCCUUUUAAAAUACCUCAAUGGUUGACCUCGGAUCAGGUAGGAAUACCCGCUGAACUUAA